rnacentral:rRNA from 1 species
GACGAACGCUGGCGGCGUGCUUAACACAUGCAAGUCACGGGGGUCCAGCAAUGGGCAACCGGCGAACGGGUGCGUAACACGUGAGCGACCUGCCUCCCUGCGGGGGAUAGCCGGCCCAAC